rnacentral:lncRNA from 1 species
CAUCUAAUGCAUUCGGUAUAUCAACUAGCAUAGUUUCCACUGGUUAGUUUAUUUUAGUAGAGAUCAUAAAAUACUCUCGAGCCACCAUCUGGUCACCACGUAUCUCACCAAAUCCUUCCUUAAUCAGGAAACACACCAAUAAAUGAUAAGUAGAGACAAUGGCCUUUAGGGCAUUGAGACCAAAUCGAUUGAGGAUAGCAUUAUAAGCAGAUGGGACUCUGAUUACUAAAAAAGUGAGCUGCACCUUUGAUUGCCUUGGUUCUUAUCCCACUGUAACCAAUAGAGUGAUUUCUCCCUCGACUACCAUCGGAUUUCUUGAGAACCCGAUGAGGGGAGUACUGAUCCAUUUGAGUUGUCCGGCCAG